CCAGGAUGUUGGCUUAGAAGCAGCCAUCAUUUAAAGAAAGCGUAAUAGCUCACUGGUCGAGUCGGCCUGCGCGGAAGAUGUAACGGGGCUAAACCAUGCACCGAAGCUGCGGCAGCGAACGUAUCACUUAAAGCGAUUCAGCGGGUUACGAUUGACGGAGCGAAGCGACGUCAAAGCGUAUACAAAGUCGAGUCGGUUUAAGGAUACGUUCGUUGGGUAGGGGAGCGUUCUGUAAGCCCGUGAAGGUGGCCUGUGAGGGUUGCUGGAGGUAUCAGAAGUGCGAAUGCUGACAUAAGUAACGAUAAAGCGGGUGAAAAGCCCGCUCGCCGGAAGACCAAGGGUUCCUGUCCAACGUUAAUCGGGGCAGG
rnacentral:rRNA from 1 species